rnacentral:rRNA from 2 species
CGAUGUGAUCAUACCAGCACUAAAGCACCGGAUCCCAUCAAAACUCCAAAGUUAAGCAUGCUUGGGCGAGAGUAGUACUAGGAUGGGUGACCUCCUGGGAAGUCCUCGUGUUGCAUUCC